UCUUCCUCUUCCAUUAUAAUACCAUAAAUCUUCUCUCUCCAAUCCCUCUUUCAUCCUCACGCAGUUUAGAGAAGAUGAAGUUAUUGCCAUGGUUGGGUCUUCAUCCUCACGCCUCUUUUCAUAGUUGCCUCUCUCUACUAAAAUUCUUCGUCUUCCUCUGAUUUUGAGCCUUUUGUAACGCUAAUUUAGCAUAUUUUGGGUCCUGUCGUCUUCAAGGAUGACAUUUGCAGCGUUAAAAUGAUGGCUGCCAUCUAGUUGUUGGAUGUAUCCGAUACAGAUUUAGAGAAACCAAAACAUCACCUCCAAUUCAUGGGACUGUAAUUGAAGAAUUGGAAGUUUUAUUGAUUACCUCUCAAAAGAGUCCAUGAAUGAUGUUCCCAAAGGAUAAAUUAGGUGAAUGGACUUUCAAGAGUAGAAGCAGAGACGCAUUUCAUGAGGGCUACAUGUUUCCUAUGCUCGUCGCAGAGGAAUUCGAUGUUUACCGGAGAAAAAUGUCCAUCGGUGAAUAUGGGGCUUGGGAAAAGAUGGAAGUGGCAUGGUAGACCCUGUCCAAGUUCAGGUCAUGGAUACUAGAGCGGUUACAGGGAAAUCAACCUAAGAAGUUGGAUCCAAAACUCGAAGUGCAGGCUGGAGAUAGUUAUAAAGCUGUUAUUCAAAAGAAGGCCAUUGCCCAGUUUCGGGAAAUAUCAUAGGCGAGUUGACACGGAAGAAGCUGUUUUUCUUGGUGCUCUGCUAUUUGUUAUCCCUUUUGAUUUAUGUUUGUAGAACUGGUGAAAGUCACUGGAAGCAAGGUUAAUUUAUCACUCUAGGGUUGUCAAAUAGUUGAAAUUAGAGAUUGCUUCAAUUAACUGGUGAUCUUUAUGUUAUAUUAUGGUUACUUGAUUUGUCCCUUCGUCUCCAAUGCCAUUAUUUAAUUGCAAUUUGUAGUUUGGAUAGUUUAUUGUAGUUUCGAGCUGUAUAGAGGAUGCAACAAGAACUCUUUAAUCUUUACUCUUUUUUAGUUAGGUGGUGUUGUAUCACAUUUUAAUGUUCAAGUGUAUUGAUUCAAAAAUUUUUAAUGAAAUUAUUAAUUUUUAUGCAA